AGCCAAUCAGGGGAAGGAAAAACGGAUCGACGCGUCUGCGUUGCUGGGUAGAUAUAAAACAAAAACAACAACGUUAGUGUCUGUCGGAGUUUGAAGCUUGGACACAACAGACGGUAUCAUUUGAAAUUCGCACGCUGUUCUGCUGCACAAUCUCUUUUCUAUUUUAGAACAUGGCAACUGACUGCGAGGCCUGGCUGAACGCAAACCCCGUCGAGGCUGAGGACCUGAGUGACUCCUUUUUAUCUGGAGACGAAGACACUGGAAGAUUGGCCAUCUCCAACAAAAACAUCAACAAUGAGAUCAAUGGCAACUGGUUGACCACGUCUAGCAACAGCAUCCAUGAAGCAC